rnacentral:piRNA from 1 species
ACAAUCCAAGAGGUUUGCAUUUAAGGA